rnacentral:rRNA from 1 species
GAUGAACGCUGGCGGCGUGCCUAAUACAUGCAAGUCGAGCGAAUGGAUUAAGAGCUUGCUCUUAUGAAGUUAGCGGCGGACGGGUGAGUAACACGUGGGUAACCUGCCCAUAAGACUGGGAUAACUCCGGGAAACCGGGGCUAAUACCGGAUAACAUUUUGAACCGCAUGGUUCGAAAUUGAAAGGCGGCUUCGGCUGUCGCUUAUGGAUGGACCCGCGUCGCAUUAGCUAGUUGGUGAGGUAACGGCUCACCAAGGCAACGAUGCGUAGCCGACCGGGUAGGGUGAUCGGCCACACUGGGACUGAGACACGGCCCAGACUCCUGCGGGAGGCAGCAGUAGGGAAUCUUCCGCAAUGGACGAAAGUCUGACGGAGCAACGCCGCGUGAGUGAUGAAGGCUUUCGGGUCGUAAAACUCUGUUGUUAGGGAAGAACAAGUGCUAGUUGAAUAAGCUGGCACCUUGACGGUACCUAACCAGAAAGCCACGGCUAACUACGUGCCAGCCGCCGCAGUAA